rnacentral:ncRNA from 1 species
UUGGAUAGGAAAAAUGAUAUCUCUGACCAUGUGCCUAUUGAAGAAUGAGUCCUCGACUUAUAGGUAGUGGCUUGGUUAAGGUAACCCACUGGAGCCGUAGCGAGAGCGAGUCUUCAUGGGGAAAUUGUCACUACUUAUGGACCCGAACCUGGGUGAUCUAUCCAUGACUAGGAUGAAGCUUGGGUGAAACUAAGUGGA